CGGAGAGUGAUGCAGUUAUGGGAUGACUGCCACCGUCCUGAAAACGGCUGGUUCGGGUUACCGAAUGGGGUUCAAGUCCUCCUCUCUCCGC
rnacentral:tRNA from 1 species